GCGCCCUUAGCUCAGUGGAUUAGAGCGCAUGGCUACGAACCAUGAGGUCGGGGGUUCGAAUCCCUCAGGGCGUA
rnacentral:tRNA from 2 species